rnacentral:rRNA from 1 species
CUUGGUGGAUCAGUGGCGAACGGGUGAGUAACACGUGAGCAACCUGCCCUGGACUCUGGGAUAAGCGCUGGAAACGGCGUCUAAUACUGGAUACGAGACGCAACCGCAUGGUUAGUGUUUGGAAAGAUUUUUCGGUCUGGGAUGGGCUCGCGGCCUAUCAGCUUGUUGGUGAGGUAAUGGCUCACCAAGGCGUCGACGGGUAGCCGGCCUGAGAGGGUGACCGGCCACACUGGGACUGAGACACGGCCCAGACUCCUACGGGAGGCAGCAGUGGGGAAUAUUGCACAAUGGGCGGAAGCCUGAUGCAGCAACGCCGCGUGAGGGAUGACGGCCUUCGGGUUGUAAACCUCUUUUGGCAGGGAAGAAGCGAGAGUGACGGUACCUGCAGAAAAAGCGCCGGCUAACUACGUGCCAGCAGCCGCGGUAAUACGUAGGGCGCAAGCGUUAUCCGGAAUUAUUGGGCGUAAAGAGCUCGUAGGCGGUCUGUCGCGUCUGCUGUGAAAUCCCGAGGCUCAACCUCGGGCCUGCAGUGGGUACGGGCAGACUAGAGUGCGGUAGGGGAGAUUGGAAUUCCUGGUGUAGCGGUGGAAUGCGCAGAUAUCAGGAGGAACACCGAUGGCGAAGGCAGAUCUCUGGGCCGUAACUGACGCUGAGGAGCGAAAGGGUGGGGAGCAAACAGGCUUAGAUACCCUGGUAGUCCACCCCGUAAACGUUGGGAACUAGUUGUGGGGUCCUUUCCACGGAUUCCGU